UACGUAGGGUGCAAGCGUUGUCCGGAAUCAUUGGGCGUAAAGCGUGCGCAGGCGGUUUUGUAAGUCUGUCGUGAAAGCCCCGGGCUCAACCUGGGAAUGGCGAUGGAGACUGCAAGGCUAGAGUGUGUCAGAGGGGGGUAGAAUUCCACGUGUAGCAGUGAAAUGCGUAGAGAUGUGGAGGAACACCGAUGGCGAAGGCAGCCCCCUGGGAUAACACUGGACGCUCAUGCACGAAAGCGUGGGGAGCAAA
rnacentral:rRNA from 1 species